UACAGAGGUCUCAAGCGUUGUUCGGAUUCAUUGGGCGUAAAGGGUGCGUAGGCGGCGCGGUAAGUCGGGUGUGAAAUCUCGGGGCUUAACUCCGAAAUUGCAUUCGAUACUGCCGUGCUUGAGGACUGGAGAGGAGACUGGAAUUCAUGGUGUAGCAGUGAAAUGCGUAGAGAUCAUGAGGAAGACCAGUGGCGAAGGCGGGUCUCUGGACAGUUCCUGACACUGAGGCACGAAGGCCAGGGGAGCAAACGGG
rnacentral:rRNA from 1 species